AAUCAACGCUGGCGGCGUGCCUAACACAUGCAAGUCGAACGCGAAAGGGGCUUCGGCCCUGAGUAGAGUGGCGAACGGGUGAGUAACACGUGGGUGAUCUACCUCUGAGUGGGGGAUAACGUUCCGAAAGGAACGCUAAUACCGCAUGACGUUCCGGGUUUGGAGACCUGGAAACCAAAGCCGGGGACCGCAAGGCCUGGUGCUUGGAGAGGAGCCCGCGCCUGAUUAGCUAGUUGGUGAGGUAANGGCUCACCAAGUCUGCGAUCAGUAACUGGUGUGAGAGCACGACCAGUCACACGGGCACUGAGACACGGGCCCGACUCCUACGGGAGGCAGCAGUAAGGAAUAUUGGUCAAUGGACGCAAGUCUGAACCAGCCAUGCCGCGUGGAGGAUUAAGGCCCUCUGGGUUGUAAACUCCUUUUAUCUGGGAAGAAAUGCCUAUUUUUCUAAAUGGUUUGACGGUACCAGAGGAAUAAGCACCGGCUAACU
rnacentral:rRNA from 1 species